rnacentral:rRNA from 1 species
GGCAGGGUGAGUCGACCCCUAAGGCGAGGCCGAAAGGCGUAGUCGAUGGGAAACAGGUUAAUAUUCCUGUACUUGGUGUUACUGCGAAGGGGGGACGGAGAAGGCUAUGUUGGCCGGGCGACGGUUGUCCCGGUUUAAGCGUGUAGGCUGGUUUUCCAGGCAAAUCCGGAAAAUCAAGGCUGAGGCGUGAUGACGAGGCACUACGGUGCUGAAGCAACAAAUGCCCUGCUUCCAGGAAAAGCCUCUAAGCAUCAGGUAACAUCAAAUCGUACCCCAAACCGACACAGGUGGUCAGGUAGAGAAUACCAAGGCGCUUGAGAGAACUCGGGUGAAGGAACUAGGCAAAAUGGUGCCGUAACUUCGGGAGAA